rnacentral:rRNA from 1 species
CACCUCUAGCAUUAUCAGUAUUAGAGGCACCGCUUGCCCAGUGACACAUGUUUAACGACUGCAGUAUCCUGACCAUGCAAAGGUAGCGUAAUCACUUGUUCCUUAAAUAGGGACUUGCAUGAAUGGCAUCAUGAGGGUUCGACUGUCUCUUCCUUUUAACCAGUGAAAUUGACCUGCCUGUGAAGAGGCAGACAUAAAAUAAUAAGACGAGAAGACCCUAUGGAGCUUUAAUUUACUAAUGCAAUCAAAACCAUACAAAUCUGCGGAUUUUAAAUUACUGCAUCUGCAUUAGAAAUUUUGGUUGGGGUGACCUCGGAGCGUAACAACCUCCCAACAACCUAUGCUAAGGCUACACCAGCCAAAGCAAAUCAGUAUGCACAAUUGACCCAAUAACUUGACCAAUGGAACAAGUUAUCCUAGGGAUAACAGCGCGAUCCUCUUCUAGAGUCCAUAUCGACAAUAGGGUUUAUGACCUCGAUGUUGGAUCAGGACAUCCUAAUGGUGCAGCAGCUAUCAAGGGUUCGUUUGUUCAACGAUUAAUAGUCCU